ACACUUUGUGGGACAGCAACCUGAGUACGGCGAGGCUCGAGGAACCUUGUCGGAAGCUGGGUCGACCACGAUCCAAGGCUAAAUACGGAGCGGUGACCGAUAGAGGAGAAGUACCGUGAGGGAAAGGUGAAAAGGACCCCGGUGAGGGGAGUGAAAGAGAACCUGAAACCAUACGCCCACAACAGGUCGGAGGGGAGUAUAAACUUCCUGACGGCGUGCCUUUUGUAGAAUGAGCCUGUGAGUUACGAUAGCGAGCGAGAUUAAGGGAUAGGAGUUCCGGAGUCGAAGGGAAACCGAGUCUUAAGAGGGCGGAAUAGUUCGUUAUCGUAGACCCGAAGCCAGGUGAUCUUAUUACGGACAGGCAGAAGCUCAGGUAACACUGAGUGGAGGGCCGGACUCUAGUGUGAUGAAAAACGCAGGGAUGAUCUGUGAUAAGGGGUGAAAGGCUAAACAAACCUGGAAAUAGCUGGCACUCCCCGAAAUGCCUUGAGGGACAGCCUCAUACGCCUAUCAUGGAGGUAGAGCACUGUUUGGACUAGGGGUCUUCACCGGCUACCAAACCCAGGCAAACUGCGAAUGCCGUGACAGAAGGUAUGGGAGUGAGACGGCGGGCGAUAAAGUUCGUCGUCGAGAGGGGAACAGCCCGGACCGACAGCUAAGGUCCCUAAAUGCCGCUGAGUGUGAAAUGAGGUGCGAUUGCGAAGACAGCCAGGAGGUUGGCUUAGAAGCAGCAAUUCCUUAAAAGAGUGCGUAACAGCUCACUGGUCGAGCAAUGGUGCGCAGACAAUGUAACGGGGCUAAGCGGUAUACCGAAGCUUUGGAUUCAUACUUUUAGGGUAUGGAUGGUAGGGGAGCAUUCCAUGGACCGGAGAAGGUACACUGAGAGGUGUGCUGGAGGGGAUGGAAGAGAGAAUGCAGGUAUAAGUACACGAAAAGACGGGUGAGAUUCCCGUCCGCCGAAAACCUAAGGUUUCCUGGGUAAAGGUCAUCUGCCCAGGGUUAGUCGGUCUCUAAGAUGAGGCGGAAGCGCGUAGUCGAUGAGAAUUCGGUUCAUAUUCCGGAACCAUAUAUAAGUUCGAAGGGAUGACGCAUGAGGUGGAGCACUGCCGGCUGACGGAAUAGCCGGUUUACUUAGCGAGCCUAUGAGGUAGCGAGGGAAAACCAGCUACUGAGGUGAGCUAAGGAGGGAGAGAAGCUACGGUGGAACGAAGAGUGCCGAAUCAAGGUGCCAAGAAAGAGUCUCUAAGGACAACUUAUAUAUGACCGUACCGUAAACGGACACACGUAGGUAGGAUGAGAAAUCUAAGGCGCUCGAGAUAACUCGCGUUAAGGAACUCGGCAAAAUGCACACGUAACUUCGGGAGAAGUGUGGCCUGAGCGAUCAGGUUGCAGAUAAUAGGCCCAGGCGACUGUUUACCAAAAACACAGGACUCUGCGAACGCGCAAGCGGAAGUAUAGGGUCUGACGCCUGCCCGGUGCUGGAAGGUUAAGAGGAGGGGUUAGCGGGAAACUGCGAAGCUCUGAAUUGAAGCCCCAGUAAACGGCGGCCGUAACUAUAACGGUCCUAAGGUAGCGAAAUUCCUUGUCGGGUAAGUUCCGACCCGCACGAAUGGUGGAACGAUCUGGGCACUGUCUCGACGCGAGACUCGGUGAAAUUUAAGUACCGGUAAAGAUGCCGGUUACCCGUGGUUAGACGGAAAGACCCCAUGAACCUUUACUGUAGCUUAUCAUGGGGACUUGGCUUUACAUGUGUAGGAUAGGUGGGAGACAGGGAAGCAUGGCCGCUAGGCUGUGUGGAGUCGUUGGUGAAAUACCACCCUUGUAAGGCUAGGUUUCUAACUUAGUUUGUAAAGCCAGGCUAGGGACAGUGGUAGGUGGGCAGUUUGACUGGGGCGGUCGCCUCCUAAAAGGUAACGGAGGUGCGCGAAGGUUGCCUUGCGCUGGGUGGAAAUCAGCGCUUAAAGUGUAAAGGCAUAAGGCAGCUUGACUGCGAGUCCGACAGGACGAGCAGGUACGAAAGUAGGUCUUAGUGAUCUGGCGGUAGCGAGUGGAAGCGCCGUCACUUAACGGAUAAAAGGUACUCUGGGGAUAACAGGCUGAUCUUGCCCAAGAGUUCACAUCGACGGCAAGGUUUGGCACCUCGAUGUCGGCUCAUCGCAUCCUGGGGCUG
rnacentral:rRNA from 1 species